UUUUUACCACUUUGUGUUCUCCAGACAGAGAAAAGAGCAUGCCGAUUUGGCUUUCUUGAAUUCUUGCUUUUGGAUUAUAUUCACAUAGAUUACUCAUAUGAAUAGGUUAAUGUCUGCGUCACAAACACUUAAUGUCUUGUCUAUGAACAAGUGGUGGGUGUGUUGGCCCCCAUCACUGCCAAGAAGUCCCUCAAGUAUCCACAUCUAGUACUUUGUACAUCAUUCUGCUUCCAUUAGCACUGGAGAUAAUAGGCCUCUUUGUUUCAAUCCCCUUUGCCAAAGUUAUCACAUGGGCUGCCAUUCACCGCUACCAAAUUCUACCUGACUGUUGAUCAACAAAACUUAAUACACCUCUACCGAUAACUUCAUUUUGACCCCAUUUCUCUAUCAUCAUACAUAUUUUACAUGUGGCUAAAUGCUAGUAGUUAUUGCUAUUUUCAGCAUCUUUUGAUAAUCAGUAGGCCAAUUAUGGUUGCUAAUGUGUCAUAUUUCCUAUGGCUUUAUUACUUCAACCAAUUAAUAACAUUCUUACAAUUCUUGAAUUGAUUUUUAGAUACUAUUAUAAUAGAAGGACAAGAAUCUACCUGGGAGAAACCUCAAGAGCUGAUGACAGAAAUGGAGAGGGCAGACGCAUCAACUGACUGGAGAGAAUUUACAAGUCCUGAGGGAAGAAAGUAUUACUACAACAAGGGUACUAGAACGUCCAAAUGGAGAAUACCUGAUGAAGUCAAGGUGAUGUUAGAUUUAAAUCCAAUAUGGGUUUGUUCCAUGCUUUAAAUAGCAUGAUAAGAAGGGAUUGUUCUGUUCUUUAAAUAGCAUGAUAAGAAGGACAGUAUUCUGUUUUCUUGGAUGCUCUAUUUCUCAUAAAAUCUAAUUAUUUAUGCGUUCAUAGUUGCUAGCAUGAUAAGAAGGGGCAAUAUUCUGUUUUCUUGGAUACUCUAUUUCUCAUAAAGUCUAAUUAUUUAUAAAUUCACAGUUGGCUCGUGAAAAGGACAUCAUUUCGCACGCUUCUGAUUUUGGAUCCAUUCCUGUUGUUAAAACAUCAUCCCCGGGUGUAGAUGGUUCAUUACUCUCAGCACACGGUGCUAAAUCAAGCCCAAUUGUUGUGUCACCAGCUGCUAACUUACCAACUAUUUUGGCUUCAGAAUCAUCAAGUUUAUCUGGUAAGGUUCUUCGAUGAUGAUUGAAACAGUCGAAAUGAAGAAUUCUUCAGAACCUUCUUCGCCAACUGUUGCUAAUUCGGAGAAAAUUGGAAUAGCAGUAACCUUGGGAAAUUCUGUCUCGCCACCGGUUUCUGAGACUACUUCAGCUCAAGAUGCAGUAGUGUAUGGUGAUGGAUUUUCUUUGGAGAAUAGAGAGAUGUCAAGAAAGAUGCUGCACUAACUGAAAUCGGAGGUGCUACUCCAUCAAAUGAGAAAACAGUCGAGUUGGGACCAUUAGUUUAUGAGAGCAAAGCGGAGGCAAAGAGUGCAUUCAAAACUCUUUUGCAAUCUGCAAAUAUUGGGUCUGAUUUCACGUGGGAUCAGGUUUAUUACUUGAUUGUUUUGUGCGUACCAAACAAUUGAGGGAGAUCAUUUGACAUGAAGUGUAUUUGUCAGGCCAUGAGAGCAGUAAUUAAUGACUGGAGAUAUGGUGCUCUAAAAUCCAUUGGUGAGCGGAAGCAAGCUUUUAAUGAGUAUCUGAGCCAAAAGAAAAAACUGGAAGCUAAAGAGAGGCAUGUUAAACAGAAAAAAGCUCGGGAAGAUUUCAGGAUAAUGUUAGAAGAUUGGAAGGAACUGUCAUCAUCGUCAAGAUGGAGGUUUGUCUUUCAUUUGUAAUGCUAAGUUGUCUGCUACUUGUUUUCUAAUCUUGGUCAUUGUUUGUAUGUGUUUUGGUACCUUGAAGUUGAUCCAUUACUUG